rnacentral:rRNA from 1 species
UGCCCGUUCCCAUACCGAACACGGAAGUUAAGCUCUCUAGCGCCGAUGGUAGUUGGGACCUUGUCCCUGUGAGAGUAGGACGUCGCCAAGC